rnacentral:misc_RNA from 1 species
GCCUUUUCAAAAGAACCAUGGGCCCAUACUUAUGUACAUAAAGGAAACCCCUAAAUAUCAUCUCACAAAAUAAGAUAUAAUUUCAUACUCAUUAUAAAUACUUUAGCUAUAUGGCCAUAACAUUUACCGUUGAAUGAUAAAUCCAUCACUGAAAACUAGAUGCAAUUGUCAUCUUCUCCCCACUGCUAUCUUCAAGACAUUGCACCAAGCCUCACCAACUUGAAAUCAUAUCAAUAGAUAUGCCACAUUGUAUAGCUUAUGAAUCUGUAUCAUACAAUAUAAUCCAAGGAUAUUGCCUUGGCCUCAAAUACCUUUUCUUGGAAAACUGGCUGAGUUACCCAUUUCCAAUUCACCCCUUGCAGAAUCCCACUUCAAUGAGAUCGGAACAAUGGCCUCUAUAAUGUCUUGUUCCUUCAAUGUCAGUAAAAAUUUCUACGGUACUUUCUAUUGUCAUUCUCCCAUCUUGUUGAAUUUGAAAAACUGAUGCAGCAGCCUGUGGACUUCACCAUAGCUAUUGGUUGUGGGAACAAGACGAUCUUUAAUCCACUGUGGAAGCUUGUUAGUUUGAUGAGAGAAGCUUCUUUUUGAGGAAUCAGAUGCAUAACGAGCAUCAACCAACAAAAUUGCUGCAUAAUCCUUUAUGUGCCGUAUUGCUCUACCAAUUGAUUGAUUUACAGCUUUCAUGCAGAGAUUUUCAUAAUAUUCUUUUCCUCUUCGCUUGCAACUCCUUAGGACACUGAAAGCAACCUGAACAUCCCCACUGAAAUAUUCAUCACUGACUGAAAUUUUGGGGGUUUUCAUAGAAUUUGAUUCUCCCAAACUUUCAAUAUACUUCACCCUCUCUAUCAACUCAAUGUCAGAUGGGUUUGGGUAAGGCAGUCCAACCAUAACUAUGCAUCGACCCAUCCCAUCGCUGAAGUUGAUGCCUUCUGAUAUCUUUCCACCAACUACAGCUAGGAGUAUUGCACCACUGUGAGCCGCUACAUCUUUUGGGCGAGUAGACAAUCCAUCAAUGGUUUCCUUGUAUUCCCUAAGAACAAGUUCCACUUCAGGAUUUCUUCUAGGCUCUCUAAAGAUGCGCUUUUUCUUCAUAAUCCUUUCAAGAAUGCCUGAUGUCUUCCAUGCAUCAUAGACCUUUCCUUCAUAUUCAAAUGAGGAGAAGAAAACAACAAUUCCUUCAGGGACAACUGCCACCAGAUUGCAAAGCAAAAGACCUAGCUCCUCUAUCAUCUUUAAUGAGCUUCUAGAGCUAUAGCUAAAAUCAAACAAUUGACCGGAAGGUCCGCGGGAAAUUGCAAUCGGCAAAAUACUCUCAGGAGGGACAAUAUGACUACAUGAAAAGAAAUGCAGCUGACUUGGUGGUAACCAAGGGAAGAGUCUCUCCCUUGUCUCUUCUAUAGGUUGCAGGGUCCCUCCUGCCAGUAUAACUGCAUGUGCUUCGUCCACAAUCUCUGAAAAAACCUUCUCCCCCGUGAGCAUAACAUACUUUAAGAAUCCUCCUUGUCUUCCAGAGCAUGUUGGUCUUGAUUUUGAUAUUAUUAUGCGUCCAUCACCAUCAUUAU